rfam:Butyrivibrio proteoclasticus strain P18 genome assembly, contig: Ga0066879_109
CACCGUACAAGGAAACGAGGCGGUGCUGAACGCACAGAAGUCAGCAGAGGUCAUAGUAGCCGAGAGGUGAAGGAC